rnacentral:rRNA from 1 species
CUACGUGCCAGCAGCCGCGGUAAUACGGAAGGUCCGGGCGUUAUCCGGAAUUAUUGGGUUUAAAGGGAGCGUAGGCUGGAGAUUAAGUGUGUUGUGAAAUGUAGACGCUCAACGUCUGAAUUGCAGCGCAUACUGGUUUCCUUGAGUACGCACAACGUUGGCGGAAUUCGUCGUGUAGCGGUGAAAUGCUUAGAUAUGACGAAGAACUCCGAUUGCGAAGGCAGCUGACGGGAGCGCAACUGACGCUUAAGCUCGAAGGUGCGGGUAUCAAACAGGAUUAGAUACCCUGGUAGUCCGCACAGUAAACGAUGGAUGCCCGCUGUUGGUACCUGGUAUCAGCGGCUAAGCGAAAGCAUUAAGCAUCCCACCUGGGGAGUACGCCGGCAACGGUGAAACUCAAAGGAAUUGACGGGGGCCCGCACAAGCGGAGGAACAUGUGGUUUAAUUCGAUGAUACGCGAGGAACCUUACCCGGGCUUGAA